ensembl:lncRNA
GUGGGGGCUUGCAUCACAGAGGAUCUCUACACAUCAGAAUGAAUGGGACGUGGGGCAGGCAGCACACUGCAAUGUGGCUGUUUUGUCUCCAAACUCCAAAGCCCUAAGCUUAUCUUGUGUUGUGGUGAGGCGCAUGGCGCACAAAGCAUUUGCAUCUUUCAAGGGAUAUUCUUUUUGUAAAGAUUUAUGUAUUCAUUUGAAAGGCAAAGCAAUCUUACACCGGCUGGUUCACUCCGCAAGUAGUCACAAUGGCCAGGGCUGGGCCAGGCUUUAGCCAGGAGCCCGGAACACACCCAGGCCCCCACGUGGUUGGGAAGGGGCCAAGUGCUCGAGCUGCCGUCCACUGCUUUCCCAGCACGAUAGCAAGGAGUGGGUGCUCUGAGAGCGGAUGCCAGCGUUGCAGGUGCGGCUUACUCACCGGCCGGGUCCCGGCCCCCGGCUGGGUCUGCUGGGCUGACGUGUAGGAAUCAGCCCACUGUGUCCAUGUCCGUCUGCCCACAGAUGGCCACAGGGACGAGCGGAGGAUAAAUCUGGGAGCAGAGUGGGCAUGGAAAGGCUGAGAAGGCCUCUUGGGCGCAGUGGGGCUGUCAAGUUUCCACGGCCGGAACCUACAACCACGGGCGGAGCAGGGCGGGCGUCCGGGAACUGGCUUCAUGCUGGUGCGUGUGAUAUGGGUACCCACUCAGGAAAGACACCGUUCCAGCUGGAACUCUCGAAUUCCCGCAGAGCGACGCUCAGUUUCAUACGGCCACCUUCCCAGGAUGCAACAGUCCCACACUGGACCAGGGCGCAUGCUCAGACCCUGCCCGGGUAGCCAAUCCGCGUGGGGCCCCGCCCCCUUCCCUAUAAGAAGGCGAAGAAGGCGGGAAAUUCGCAGACCGCUCUCUGCGGCGGGGCGCCUGUGGGCCGAGCCUUUCCUCUCCACCCGGUGGACGGUGUGGCCGGACCGCUCCGCCCCCGUGAGAUUCUUGUCAUUCUAGAAAUAGUGAACCUAAUCCUGUAAUUACAUCCCCCACCACCAGUUGUGGUCCAUACAAGACAACGAUCACUGAAAGCCUUUGUGAGGUUGGCGCCUCUCUUCUUGUGCAUUCCUUCUGGUGAGUGGUCUGCUCUUACGUAGCACAUCAGUCUCAGUGGGUUCCUUCCCCGGAUCUCUCAGGGCUUCCUUCCACUGCCUGCCAUGGAAUUGUGGCAUUCCAGCUCACUUAACAUGGGCCAUUGGUUUUUCCCUUGCUCUUUGAAAAUAGCCUGGUAGCAAUUUUACCCUAUCUUCUACUACUUUGCCAGGAUGCUGGAUCUUGCAUCUCCUACCACUUCCAAAUGACUAAAUUCUUUUCACAAGCUUUUUCCAGGUCCCCUUGAUCAAGUGUCCUCAGAGUUAAGUCCCACGUGAUCUCUUCUGGCUUCAUUAGCAUACAUUGGCUGAAUCUUGUCAUUAUUUGUUAGACCUAGGUCAUCACAGUCUUGACAUGGCCUCAGUCAUUAUCUAAUGGCUGUAGGGAUAUUUGGGGACAUCCUGAAACGAAUGCAAGAUGUCUUGCCAGGGGGCCGUAUUUGUGAUUUAAAUGGGAGAGUGCUUGCUGUUGUUAACAGUAGGGCUGGAACAGUUCUGCAGGACUAAACUCUUUGGGAACAUGGAAAAUCCAAGAUUUCAGAGAUUUCUCAAUGAAAUGCCUCCAUCCCAUGUGUCAGGGUUCUAUUUUUUUUUUUUUUUUGACAGGCAGAGUGGACAGAGUGAGAGAGAGAGACAGAGAGAAAGGUCUUCCUUUUCCGUUGGUUCACCCCCCAAUGGCCGCUGUGGCCAGUGCGCUGUGGCCGGCGCACUGCACUGAUCGGAAGCCAGGAGCCAGGUGCUUCUCCUGGUCUCCCAUGCUGGUGCAGGGCCCAAGGACUUGGGCCAUCCUCCACUGCCUUCCAGGGCCACAGCAGAGAGCUGGACAGGAAGAGGAGCGACCGGGACAGAAUCUGGCGCCCUGACUGGCACUAGAAUCUGGUGUGCCAGCGCCGCAGGUGGAGGAUUAGCCUAGUGAGCCGUGGCGCUGGCUAAGGGUUCUAUUCUUAACAAGAAUCCUCAUGUUGGCAUUGCAGAUCUGGGUUGGUUGGAAGCUCGAUGUCUUUUUGGACUUGACUACUCUGACAAGUAAGUCCUAUGUCUAUCGUCCUCACAAAGGUAUCCACAUCCUUGUCCAGAUUCUGUGAAUAUGGUAGAUUAUAUGCAAAUUGGUGGUGGUAACUAAGCCUACCACCUUAGUUGCUAACCAGUGACCUUAAAAUAGGGACAUUAUCUUGGAUUCUUUUGGUGGCCCCAUUGUAAUCCCAAGGGUUCUUAGUAUUGGAAGAGGGAGGCAGAAGAAUUGAAUCAUGGAUGGAUAUGUCUGUGUGAAAUUGAUCAGAGUAAUACAGUGUUGCUGAUUCUGAAGAUGGAAGAAGUGGACAGUGAGGCAAAGAAUUUGGAGGGAGCAGCUCUAGGAGCUGGGCAAAGUAAAGGAAUGGAUCAUGCUCGCCAUUCUCAGAAGAAACAUACUACAUUGUUUUUAACCCAUUGAGACCCAUUUCUUAGUUUUGAUCUCCCAGUAUCAUAGAGUAAUACUCCACAUUGUUUAAGGCACUAAGAGGGUGGUAAUUUGUUAAAAAAUCACUAGAAAAUCAUUGAAGUCUGUGUCCCAGCCUUUUCUGCCCAUCUCUAGUGGAGACAAGAGCCUCUUGGCAUUCUUCCCUCUAUUUCUUACCUGGUUCUCACACCAUGUUAAUAGCUCUCAGCUCCUCAUCAGCUUUAAAGCAUUUAUGGACCUUACAGAAUGGCUCCCCAACUCCAUUGUUUUGGUUGUUACUGUUUGUCCCUUUUUUGUCAAAUUUCUCUUCUGGCAAUGAAACAUUCUGUUUCACCAUCAGUGGGAGUUCAAGCCAUUGAACUACAGCCUUGUUCCUGGAGGUCACCUAUAACCACAGUGCAUUCCUCAUUUCAAGCUACACAAAGACGACCUAGCUUCCAACCCCCUUCUUAUCACCAUUACUGUUGUCUGUAACCAUUCCUGGCACCAAGCUUCACCGGCUGGUUCUGCAGUAAGCCGCCUUUGACAUGGAGUGUAGCAGCCUGAUGUUCUUAGUGGGCCCUUGGGGAAAAUUCUUGUAGAAGGCUGGGGAUCAGGAGCUUGGUCAGAGGCCAAGGCCACGUUGUGAGUCAAGUCUGAUCAGCCUCAGUAAACCCCAUGGGGAGAUAUGGAGCUGACUCACGUAGGACUGAAAAAACCUUAGUGUUCCCAUGUUGCCACUUCAGAUGAUAAUGGGAUACACUUCUCUCUUCUAGCCACCCAAGGGACUGACCUGUGCCAAGGUGACUGUCACCCAGAGCACUGAGAGGAGCUAAAGAAGGAGGUCUGCUGACAACACCAACAGCAGCAAGAUAAGACACUGUAUCCAUCACUAAAUUGCCACCUUAAAAAAUGCUCCAUUCACCCUUAUUUAAUGUUUUUCACUUACCUACUUUGAGGAUAUGCCAAGAUCUUUCAGUGAGGUUACACAAAAAUCAUUUUAUCAGCUUUAGCAGUAAAAAGUAGAUUAUCUAAUACAGUGGAAGAGUAAUUUCAAAAUACUGAGGGAAAAUAAGCAUCCACUUGAAAUUUUGUGUCUAUCAGAAGCAAAGAUGCAAUGAAGAUGUUUUUCACAUAAGUAUUGACAGGAAAAAAACUUCUUAAGGCUAUGCAGGCUCUUUUAACAAAAGGAAGUUUUGACCUCAUGAGGAAGGAGUAGGGUAGAAGGAGCAAUGAGAAACAGAUAAAUAGCUAAAAUUGGAGUGAUUUCUUCUAUUUCAUGAAUUUGAGAUAGAAAUGAUGACAUUUUGAGAAAUAUAUCUGUGGUGAAACAGUCACUACAGGUAAGCAAUUUAACAUAUCUACCACCUUCAGUAUUUCCUUUUUGUAAAGUAUUAGUACCCAAAAUCUACAAUAGCAAAUUUCCAGUGUUAUUAACUACAGUUCUGUUGUGCAUGGUAUCUGUAAGACUUACUUAUCCUGCUUAGCUGCAAAUUCGUAUGUUUUGACCUGCAUCCCCCCCAACCUGCCCCCCACCCCUUACCCCCCACAUCCCAAUAACCACUGUUCUACUCUCUGGGUCUGUGUAUUCAGCAUUCUUUUAGAUCAUUUAUGUAAGUGAGAUCAGGUGAUAUUCUUCUUUCUUUUACUGGCAUAUUUCACUUAGCGUCAUGUUUUUCAGGUCUAUCUAUGUUGCUGCAUGUGGCAGUAUCUAUUUUUUUAAGACAAUAAUAUUCCAGUGUGUAUAUACCACAUAUUCUUUAUCAGUUUGUUCACUGAUGGACUGUUAGGUUGAUUCCAUAUCUUGCCUCUGUGAAUAAUAAUUUGAGAUACUGAUUUCAUUUUCUUUAGUUAUAUGAACAGUAGUGGAAUAGUUGAAUCAUAUAUUAGCUCUGUUUUCAAAAGAGGGAAAUUGAGUUUUCUGUUUUCAUACAGUUUUCCAACAUGGUUCUACCAAUUUUCAUUGCCACUGAGAAUGGGCACAUUUACCUUUUCUCCACACCCUUGAUUAGACUUGUUAUCUUGGCCGUAGCCAUCAUGACAGGUGUGAGGCGCAUCUCCUCAUUACUUCACUUGGCAUUUCUCUUAUAAUUAGUGAUUUUGAGCACCUGUUCAUAUAGCUGCUCCCCAUUGCAUGUCUUCUUUUGAGAAAUGCCCAUUCAGGUCCUUUGUCCAUUUUUUUAGUGAGGUUAUUUGUUUUUGGGUUUUGUCUAAGUUGCUAUUUAGUUGUAUGAGUUCCUUAUAUGUUGUUAAUCUCUUAUCAUAUAUAUGGUUUGCAGAUAUUUUCCUCCAUUAUAUAACUUACCUUUUGUUGAGUGCUCUGCUUUGCAGAAGCUUUCUGGUGCAGCCCCCCUGUUAGUUUACUUCUGUUGCUGUGAUUUUGCCUGUACAAAGGCCAGCAUCGUAAACCUUUCACCUGUGUUUACUUCUGGGAGUUUAGCAUAUGCUGGGAGAUGGGUGUUCAGCUUUAUUCUUUGCUAAAUGAUGAAUGAUGAUUAAAAAAGAAGACAAACAUUUGAAAGUUUGAAAAUAUUAUUGGAAAGUACUAAUAAAUGGCAAAGUGAGGGAGUAUAUAAACA